UGAGGAAGUAAAAGUCGUAACAAGGUCUCCGUUGGUGAACCAGCGGAGGGAUCAUUA
rnacentral:rRNA from 6 species